rnacentral:rRNA from 1 species
CUCAAGAUGAGAUUUCCCAACUUCGGUUAUAAGAUCCCUCAGAGAUGAUGAGGUCAAUAGGUUCGAGGUGGAAGCACAGUAAUGUGUGGAGCUGACGAAUACUAAUCGAUCGAAGACUUAAUCAAAA